UGCAAGUCGACGGCAGCGGGGGCUUCGGCCUGCCGGCGAGUGGCGAACGGGUGAGUAAUGCAUCGGAACGUACCCAGUCGUGGGGGAUAACUACGCGAAAGCGUAGCUAAUACCGCAUACGCCCUGAGGGGGAAAGCGGGGGACCUUCGGGCCUCGCGCGAUUGGAGCGGCUGAUGUCGGAUUAGCUAGUUGGUGGGGUAAAGGCCUACCAAGGCGACGAUCCGUAGCUGGUCUGAGAGGAUGAUCAGCCACACUGGGACUGAGACACGGCCCAGACUCCUACGGGAGGCAGCAGUGGGGAAUUUUGGACAAUGGGCGCAAGCCUGAUCCAGCCAUGCCGCGUGAGUGAAGAAGGCCUUCGGGUUGUAAAGCUCUUUCAGACGGAAAGAAAUCGGGCGCGUGAAUAGCGUGCCUGGAUGACGGUACUGUCAGAAGAAGCACCGGCUAACUACGUGCCAGCAGCCGCGGUAAUACGUAGGGUGCGAGCGUUAAUC
rnacentral:rRNA from 1 species